rnacentral:lncRNA from 1 species
GUUGAUCCGUCGUCUGCGAUCCUCUGGUGCCGUCCGAAGAUAAUAUUUCAGUUCUUCCUGAUAAGUUGAUGUGUAAGUUCUCUCAUCAACACUGUUCCAACAAUUUAAAUCAUAAAACGAAUCAGAAAAAUCACUAUGUGCCGGCCUUUUAGAAGAUGAUGGCUCCUCGGGAGGAUGAGGAGCGACAGUUGGAGUGAUAUUUGUA